GACUUCCGGGCACUUCGUAAGGUUUAAAUAAGGAUGCUUCGCGUUCGCUCUCCCUCUUGGAGACAGAUUCGCAGUGGUCGCUUCUUCUCCUUGGAUUUGUUAAGGAUUCCAAGUAACUCUUAUUUGGAGAGAAGACGAUCUGCACUUCGCAUUUUGACAUUGACAUUUAAUUUUAGGGUCCUUUAUAUAGAAGGGAGAGUAGGUAAACUGAUUUUUUUUAACAGGGAGGGUUUGACAAUCUUUGGCAGACUUGGAGCAAAAGAUUGAGGUGCAUUUCAUGCCUCCUUUUGAGAGUCUUGCUGUGUCGCCCAGGCUGUAGUGCAGUGGCGCGAUCUUGGCUGCAAACUCAGCCUCCCAAGUAGCUGGGAUUACAAACGUAAGCCACCACGCCCAGCCCUCAUACCUCUUUUAAAAGUCGACCUGUUUUGCAGAAAGUCUGCUGUUUUGUACUAAAGGCUUUGGAAUUUGGCAUUUAGCUAGGAAUGCACAUUCUUACACCUCAUUCAUACUUUAAGAACCACAGAAGUGACUCUGCUUGGCCAGAAGGCACUUCCGCCUCCCAGGUUCAGGCGAUUCUCCUGCCUCAGCCUCCCAAGUAGCUGCGA